GCACAUCUCUACCCUAGGGUAAGUAAAUAGUAAUAACACAGAAAACGAGAAGUGUCAUAUAGAUAUUGUUAAAGUUUCAAAGCGUGUGAUGUUGCGUUUAGAUUAUUCCAUCAUUAGUCAAGGUUGAAAAUAUUUCAUUAUUCCACACAAUAUAGACAUAUCGGAUUUUGUGUCACUUGAUACUGAUAAUGGAGACAAUUGACCAAGCAAUUGUCCACGAUGAUGCACCACUUUGUGUCAAUGACAGUUUUGAAAAAAUUAAUUUGAAACGAAUACCGAGUGAUACAUCAUCAUGCAUAAAGUCAAGAUAUACGUUUGGUUUUCUUGGAUUUUUAGGAUUUGCUUUGGUGUAUGCGAUGAGAGUCAAUCUUUCUGUUGCUAUUGUAUCUAUGGUGAAUCAGACUGCAUACCCAGACAACGACAAUAAUAGCGCAACUGACGUUUGUCCAAAAGUUGGUCCAAUUAAUGGAACUUUCAUUCCGAGUCCAGGAGAGUCUAAUCAUGAAUCAACCCAAGGUAUUAUUCUGAUCCUUGGCUAUGUUCUCACAAACAUACCUGGUGGAAGAAUGGCCGAAUUUAGUUGGUGGAAAACCAAUUUUGGGCUUGGUGUCCUUUUACUGCUAUACUUACUGUUGUAAGUCCUUUGCGGCGUACUGGGGACUUGGGGACCAUUCCUUUGCUGUAAGAAUCGCCGAAGGUUUUUACAGAGGGAGUAACUUUUCCAGCUAUGCAUACUAUUCUGGCGAAAUGGGUUCCACCACUGGAGCGCAAUAAAUUUGCCGCUUUUGUUUAUUCAGGUGCCAAUUUUGGAACUGUAAUUUCACUUCCGGUGAGUGGGUGGUUGUGCUCUUUAACUCUUUGGGGUGGCUGGCCUCUAGCUUUUUAUUUGUUUGGAAGCUUGGGAAUGGUGUGGUACAUCUUUUGGCUACUGUAUGUUUAUGAUACUCCAGCUGAGCAUCCAAAAAUCGAUCCUCAAGAAAAGUUGUACAUCGAAGCACUUGUUGAACCAAAACAUGAUUCACACAAAAGCUGAAUCA